ensembl:lncRNA
CGCCUGGCGGCGUUGGCGCGGAAGGGCAGCGGGGCGCCGCGGCUGUUGGCCUCCUGGUUGUGACAGACGCCACCUCAACAGCAUGGCUUUACGCAUUCUUCAUAAGCGUCAUUAUCUGCUUCCUUUUUAUUUAUUUAUUUAUUUCCCCUCACCAGUGCGCUGGGGAGCAGCAGGGAUAGAAGUGACUCUCCCCUCCGCUGUGGUUACGGGAUGCCAAUGACUUCCAUGGGAUGGCAAUGAUUUCAAUACAUGUAGCACCCAGAGGUCCUGCUGCCACACUGCCCUGUGGUGACACAACAACCUUUUUGCCUCUUCUCUACGCACUUCCCCUUCCCCAUCUGCACCCGACUGCAGCCUACAGAAGGAUUCAGAGACGCUUUUGAACACAGGCCUGUGCUACGCCAACUCCUUCGUGCAGCACUGCACAAGGCUCAUAGAUCAGAACAUCCAGAAGUCAGACUCGCUCCUCUCGCCUGUUACCCAUUCUUGUGCAAUUCUUCCUGAUCCGCAAGGCAAGAAGCAGAAGCUGGCUGCAGUUCCUUCGCUGGACUCUCUCUGGCAUGGGAAAGUGUCAGUGGGUGGGAGGGCUGGAACAGCCACUCCUAGGGCUACUUCCAAAGCCAUGCACACAGAGAUAGGGAGAUGACGGGGACCAGAAGCGACAUGUGGGGAGGACGGCACGCUGUGGCUAUCCCACCUGGUGCCCAGGCCAUCGCAGCCAGCUGCCAGAUGACACAGACCCGGGAGCUGUUCUCACAUGCCAGUGCUCACCACCAACAUGUCCUAACUGCUUCCCAUGGUGCUCAACGCAGGAUGAGAGCAGCUGAAUAAAAAGUAAUUGUAAAGCCUAGCAUGCAGCCUUUAAAGUUUUUAAUGAAGAAUCUUGUAAUUCUUCACCAUGGCCCAUUCUCCUGCCAACCUCCCUAAGAUUGCCUUUGGUUUCUGCUGUCCCUGGCAGUACGCAGCACUAAGUUCCAGCUAUCUGGCCCCAGCUUCAGGACCACUGAAGAGUUCUUCUUGUUCAGAAAUUUCUGAAAUCGGUAACCACCAGUCUGUUCCUGGGAACUCCUGGCACUUGUCAGAGUUCCUUAAAAGGGUCAGAUUUCUGUUCUCCCAACCCUUUUUUUCAAAGUGCAGACACUCCAGAAAAAAAAAAGAACACCUGUCCUGUAACAAACUCAUCAAGCAAGGAGAUACAGUUAUGUAGGAAAUGUCAGAUGACUAUGAAGAACUUCUGGAAAGCUAGUGGACAGCAACUUCUCUGUCUGUUUUUCAACGGGCUACUAUAAAACUGCUCAGAAAUAAAGCCCACAUCUUCCUGGUCAGAUGGCUUCAACGUGCACUUUGCAACAUGGGGCUGGAGCCUACAGCUUCUGCUUUUCCACUGGCAUUUGUGUGCACUCAGACACUCUCCUUUUCUUUCUUUUGUAGCCCUCAUUGCAACAUUGCUCCACUUAAAUUUGCUCUGACCUCCAAUUCACUCUGGAAAAUUUUCCAUGCAGCAGGGGAAGGUAUUUUGCUCACACAGUCCCCACCGGCUGCAGGCAGGGGUGCCAUCUCCAGGUGUUGCUUCUACAGCACUGGGUAGGGCAAAGAGCAACAUGGAGAUAAAGUGGGGAUUGAGCAACCUGGCACUGCAAAGGCCAAGCGUGCUAGGUCAGAGCAGUGGAGAACAGCACGUGGAAAGCAACAGGUCGGAAUCGAGCCUCUGCCAGGUACAACUUACGAGUUGGUGCUGGUGUAAGGUGCACGGCUGUAUGAAGAGGGACCUGGGACUGGGAACAAGGAGAAAACAGAGCACACAGAGUGUUCAGAAAUAGAUUUCAAUUUUACUUCUCUUUUUCACAGUCUUCAUUGCAACAUUGCUCCACUUACGUCAAACUUUCAGGCAAGGCCACAUCUCACCCCAAGGUCUCCCAUAGCAGCCCUGUGCUCCCCCAGCCUGCCCACAUGCACGGACACCACUGCUCUCAUUCUCCUCUCCAACUCACCUCCAGCACACUACCAGCAGCACCUUGUUCAGUGAUGCAACUGUUGACUUCUGGCAUUAUCUUCUUUAAUCUUUGCCCCUCUUCUGCCUCUCCAUGCUUUGCAUUGGGCUGCAGUGAGGGGCUGUGUCCACACAGCGUUUAGCAUGAUGCACCUCUGAUCUCACUGAUCUGCCAGGAGAUACUGCAAGGCAAACAACAUGCAAGACGAGUCUUCAGCAAGAGGCAUCUAAAAUUAUAGACAGCCUUUUUCUAGAGUACAAACCCUCAGCCCACAGAUUUUCUUACAAAAUCUUCAGUGUUUGAUCUGUGACCAUUACAUUAAUAGCAUCUCCCUAAAGCUAGUGUCCUUCCAGGACAGCUGCUAUAGACCUGCAGUGUGGGAAUUGGAGAGCCUGCUGGAAAUCCUGGAAAAGAAGACAAUUUUCAGGAAUAAUGUGUCUCUGCAACGUCUUAUCAUAGGUCUGAGCCUGCAGCUGGAAAGCUGUGUCUUUCUACAGUGUAAAAGGGAAAAUGUAGAGCAGAAUUUAAUUCAUGACAGAAAAGAGUGGUGAAGAUGAGAUUCUUCCCUCCACUUUUUCCCCCUUCCCACAUUCUUGUCUUACCCCUCCACUAUCUAUCUUCUUUCACACAUGAAUAAAGAGGAAUCUGGAUUUUAUUGCAUCAGAUUUUUUUUUUUCCCUAGGGAAUGUAGAUGUUCUC